CACUGGUAUCCCUUUUUAAACCCUACUUCUAAGAGGGUUUGUAGCUAUUUCAUCUGUGUUAAGCAGCACUCUGUUACCCGAGGCUAUAUGCUACGUUCUGUAUGAUCAAAGCAGAAAUGCAAGCAGCUUCUGACGAAGAGUUAUCGUGGCUGAGGGGAAAAAAUAUCAAGGAAGGAGAAAAAAAAUACAGCGCUACAAAAUACCAGGUCAUACCACCAAAGUAAACACCCACAGGUUUCUUGUGGACCUAAAGAAUCUGUCUGGCUGCUUGGGGAUUCAUAGGGAUUUUAUGGACUUCCUGUGUGAGCCAGGGGCUGCCCAUCAGACAUUCAGAGGAUCUGGUUUGCCAGUACUGUAUGUUAUAGUAAUUACACCAAUGUGGAACAGAAGUUUUCCUCCCCACUCCUGAGAGAAGCCUGAAGUGCUGCUCAGAUCUCUCUCACUGCAAGAAACCUUCCCUUCUUCUGCUAUUCAUCAUAGCAAUUUCACAGGCUCUCUUCAGCUGUUCUCUCCAUGGGUUGGUGAAGCUGUUCUCAAAGUACUUUACAAAGGCAACAAAAACGUCUCUGACACCACUUUAUAGCAAGGGAAACAGGAGCAGAAAGGGAAAAGUUAUUUGGCUGAGAAUCCCUUGAGAGACCAACAGCAGAGUAUUUUUUCUACAGAAACAAUAAACUGCAGAGGAAAAGGAAAAAAAUCAUUCUAGCAAACAAGCACCUCAUCUUACAAAUAUAAAUUGGGGAAAACAAAGAAAAAAAUCAUUUCCAGAGUUUGCAAGAGCUCAGCUCUGCACAGCACCUCCUGUGUAAGAUUUAAAACUUGAAUGUAGAUAGAGGCACAUCGCAUCCACCUUCAGAAACAGAAAAGAUGCAGCUGAAGGGGAAACUUGAGGAGUAAUGAUGGUUUAAGUACUCAUUUGCUUUUGUCAGUGUGUUUACAACAUACCAGAGGGAAGAUGCACAAAAGGACUCCUUAGACAAAUUCCAAGCAUAUUGACAAAGGAAGAAACAGAUCUUAUUAAAAAGUCAGCAUUUGUUAAAUAAAAGAAAACAUGGUGCUGAGACUCCAGCUCAGAUUGAAGCAAAGUCAGGCAAUGUUCACGGUAACUGGAAAGUACUGGGAGAGAGAAAAAUACUUGUGCUUCUGACAGACACCUGGUGAUUACAAAUUAGAGCUGGAUAUUUACUGAUAAGGUUACCUAGCCCUGGAUUAUUAAUAAAUUUCUUGCAGAAUGUAGUUCUGGUUGCUGGGAUAUAAAACACUCAACUAUUGCAUCCUCAUAUGGAAAGCAGAAGUAAUGGGAAAAAUAAUCACAUCUGUUGUGCAGGUAGGCAUGAACAUCUGUAAGCACAUGCAUAUGAAUACAUCUGGCUAAUACUGAACAUGGAUGAAAGCUUUGGGAUGCUGAGGGUAGAAGCAGAGACCUGACAGCUCUGUAAGUAAAACUUCUGUACUGCAGAUAUAACGGAGAUGUAACAAGCAAUAACAUACAGCAAUCUCACUGUACUGCCUGGACCGUGGUUCCAGUUUCUCUGCACAAAGAGAAGUUUCCAAGCGUUCAACUGCCAUUUAAAAUCAAACAAGGCAUCUUGGCUUUCCAGAGAGGAGGAAAAAUCCUGGCUAUCACCAAUCUAUAUCCUGGAAUCCAUCAGCAUAGCUAAUAGUAUUUCAUCUGCAGGAGCACAGCUCCAUCAAUUUGCGCUAGGCAGCGAGCUUCUGUUUCCAAACAGACCAUGAGAGAGUUAUGACCCACAAAUCAGUCCAGAAUAUCCUUGGCUCUGUUUCAGGAUGCAAAUGCUGCUUUUUCUCUUCAAAAUAUUAAAAUUGAAUGAUCCAGUGAGGAGAGCUUUUCUACCUAUUUUGGUUAUGGGUCUUUUGAGGGAUUGUUUUGACUACCAAGUAGCUUUUAGUGGUAAUCAGUGACCUCAAGAUCAAUUUACACUCUUAGAAAAUAAAUACAAUUCUUGUUUACAAUAAAAAGCAAAUGUGCAAGGAGAGAGGAAAAGAAGAGAGAACAGGAUUAAUAAAUUACAAUUGUUAGCAAGCACUAACGUGUAUCAAAAUGGCAAAUCCUCUGGAGUAUGGCUGAGUUUCUUUUAUUCAGGUCAAUGACUCCUUUUGCGAUUCCCUUCUCUAAAAAGAGCAUUUUUCAAUGAUUUAUGUAUAAUAAUCUCCACAUCAGCAUAUCUUAUUUUUCAGUAUUUGUUUGUUAAACAUGCAGGAAGAAUUUCAUACUGAAGCCCUUAGCCUUGAAAAUACAACUGGGACAAUGGCAUAAAAAUAUGCAUAUAAAAUAGAAAUAUUUAUUAGUAAAGCUCAUGCUUAUGUUUUGACAUGUAGGUAAGGAAACAAAAAAAUAAGCCAUUUUAGAUUGCUGAGUUGAGAUUUUAAUGGUGUGAGUUUCAGACAGAUACACAAGGGUUGAUUAUUAAGCAAAGAAAAGAAAAUCAUCCAUCAUAGGCCAGCAGAGCAGGGAGCUGCAGCGAGCAUCACAAAGGCUCCUUUCCAUCAGCCAGCACAAAGCACAUUUCCCUACAGCCUGUAGGAAUCAGAACUGGACAAAAAUGGUAUUAUUUGGUGAGUGAUUAAGAUGGCUUGAGUCAGUUCAAACACACCUGAAAGUCUGGGUGGGUUUUUCAUGACUAGAACAUCACAGAAGAUUUUCAGCCACCUUUCCUCUAUGGCUGCCAACAAAAAACCCAGAUCCUCCCAUGUGUUUGCCCACCUCACAUGCCUGGAUCACAUUCAGGGACUGGCAUUCUGGUUUAAUGAAAAAAAAAAUCAGUCUUCAAAGAAGUGGACAUCCCAUUCCCAUACAAAUACUUCUGUCUUCUGGUCAAAUAAUUUGACAAAAAAAUCCAAUCUGAAGACUUGAAAAAUGCAGAAGUCACGGAUGGGAAUUCCACAAUGGGCAAAACGCACUGUGUAUGAGUGAAUAAAGUGCACUGUGUAUGAAAAGUGACAGUAUUUUAGAGGUUGUAAUCUGAUAUAGAAACUAUUUAGAUCACUUUGAUUGUCUGCAAAUGACAAUCCCAAGUGAUUUCACUCGUAGAAUGAAUUAUUCUCAUUACCAGGUUUGCCCUUGGCUAGCUCAGGCAUGAGUCAGACCUGAAUAGACUCUACUUCUUCUCCAAGGGGCUGUCUGUAGCUACAAAAGAAAGCAGCCUUACUCCUGUUCAUACAGUGCCUGUCCCCCAGCAUAGCAGAGGAUUUCAUUCACUGUGCUGUCCAUUUGAAGGCACAGGAGAGGGAAGGGGGAACUGAUAGAUAAAAUGGCAGAUUUGCAGUACCUUCCAGCUAGGAAGUCCGUCCUACCCAAGACAUUAAAGUCACCAGGCCUUCUUACAAGAGCUGUAUUCUCCAAGUUGACUGGAUACUAAGUAGGCACUGAUGUCCAUUAAUAUUUCACAAGGAAAAGAAUGCAUUUCCCAAGCAUUGACUAGCUACAUAUAUUAUUUAUAUAAAACCAUGGCUUAAGUUGAAAAACAAUAAAUGCUUCAACAGUGUACCUAUUCACAGCCUACUCCACUGCUAAGUAAAGUGGGCUCAGGUUAUUCCUCAAGACCUUGUAACUGUGCACAAAUUCAAUGAGACCUCCAUAUGAACAUGACCUACAAAGGUGAGUAUGAGAUUGCAGCCUCUUUACCAAUACUAGUUAGCUAUGAAAUUACAUGGACCCAUGGGCAAUAGAUUAGAAAGCCGAGACAUUCUUUUACAUUUUAUAUUUGUAUUAUAUUUUACACUCCCAACUGAGAUCAGGUCUCCCACUCUAAACAAGGGGCUGACAAUGCACAAGGAAGCAGUGUUCUGUCCUACUUCACAAACAAAGAGUAAGAGCUCAGGGAGAUAAAGGACUACAUUUUCCACUGCUAUUCAACCAGCUCAGCUCACUGAUAGCCUUUUCGAGAGGAAUAAGUUGCUACAAAAAAAGAUGAAGGUCAGAAAAACCAGAGAUUGCACAUUCCAGGGCCAUGCCAAGAGACUGCUAAAGAGUGGAGAUAUGAAUUUAGGCCUUCUUCUUCCCCAGUGACUUUUGCUACAAGACUACUCUUUCUUCGUAAAUGAUCUUCAAACAGUUGUCUUAAUGACUGCUUUGUCAUUCAACCUUUUCAAGACUGUAAAGGAGGCAUCCCAAAGGAGGUGCAACAGAAUAAAGUUAUUUUGCCUGAAGCACUUGUAACAUUAAUGGAAGGAAUUUAAUUCUGUCACUGAAAAAGGGUUAAGAGAGGUUUACUAGCUCAUAACCAUAACUAGAGAGAAGGGAAAAGCUUGCAGAGGGGAGAAAGUGGAUCCAAGAUGUAGGCACUACCAUCACCAGUUAUGUGUUUACCACUCAGCCGGCAGCUAAUGGCCCAUGUAUAAACUCAGGAUGAAAGUGGGUAAAAUAAAUUGCAUUCUUUUAAAAAGCCAUCUCUUCUUUCACUGGCACUGAAAAUCCAUCUGAAAUGAACCCCUGAAAGCCAUUUUGAGUUUCUUUGGCAACACACAGAAAGUGCCAAGGUAAUUCUUCACAAUUCAGUAUUGGGAAGAAAAACAAAAGCAGUAAAAACACUGGAAGCUCUGGAGACAAGACUCACCUCAGUGCAGACAGCAAGAAGGAUAUUUAUGCACUAUUUAUACUACACCAACUGCCACUUUUGCCUUACAUCGAUUAUAAUACGUUUCACAGAUCCUUCCAAAGCUCUGGCAUAACAUUAACAUAACACAGCACUGGGAGAUAGAAGCAGCAGGGCUAUAGGCGGCCACUCCAUGCAGGGUCAAGUGCUGUAUCCCUCUCUCCUUCGCACAUCCUGAUAAGCAAACACUGAAAAGAGAUGGAGAGGCUGCAACACAACAGAGGCUGCAUUAGUAAGGGACCAUUCCUGAACAUCUCCUGGCUGCUGCCCAGCUCUUCCGGAUGGACCCAGAGAUCCUGCCAGCCUCAGCUGUUUUGUGAUGUUAUGAAGCAAACAACUGCUGUUCUGCAUCUCCUGCCAUCACUGCUCCAUGGUAGGGGAAAGAAGCAGUAGGUUUGUGAAAGGACAGGGGGAAAAGGGGUCUCUGAAGCUUCUCUGGGUCUUCCAUUGCCUCUGCAAAGCUUUGCUGCCCUGCUUUCUUUUUCCCUGAGAGAGAAGCAGAGAUGAGCAUAGAUUGUGUUGCACCUGAAACGCAGCUCUCAGUAGCGAAGCCCACUCACUUAUACAGUAUUGCUGGGUUAUAUGGCAGGUGUGAAUGAAUGCAGUUCAUUUGGAUCCAAAAGAACUCAGCAAAAGACAGCAAGAUAAAUAACCUUGGAAAAGGGGUGUUGACAAGCAGGGACUUGUGGAAAGUAACUGGAUGGACCAGGAACCUGCAUACACAGCUCUCCCCACUGCCUCAGCAGCCUCGAAGCACCCCCACAUCAUGGCCUUCCUACUCUCUGCAUUUCCCUUUUCACUGAAAGGGCAUUUUGGUGAGGCUCUGCAGGCAAACAGCCAUUACUACCUGGUCCUUCCAAGGCUUCUACCCAUGAGGAUUUCUGAAAACACAAACCUUGAAGAUAUGCCCAGCCCACUGCUACCAUCGGUAAGUCCUGGCUCCACUGACACUGCUUCUUGCCCUCAGCACCACUUAACCCUAUCAAGCUCUGUAGCAUCUGUAAGCACAAUCAAUCAGCAGGAGGUAGCAAGCAUCCAGCUUCUACAAAGGAUUAUCCAACCUCUGAUCAUAGAUCUGAAUGCAUACAACAUCAAGCACAACUCCAGGUGGUGAUUUGCUCUGAUUUCUGCAGCAAUACCAGUGCAGUGACCAUCUUAUAGAACUGAGGUAGACCACUGAGAAGUUCACAUGAAUAUCCCACGUGCACAAUGUCUGUAUCGAUUUCCAGCCACUGGCAGAGCACGAGCAAUGCAGAUGCCAAGUAUCAAAGACAGGAGGGUUGUGUCCAAACCAGCUCCCCUCCACACCAGGCUCAAGCAGAUGUGAAUUUGUAUAGGCUGCUUAUGAAGGCCUGCAAAAGGAAAUCCUGACACAGCAGUGUGAAAUCACAUGCAGCUCUGUCACUCUAAAGGCUUACACUAUAAAACCUUCAUUGCUCCAAUCCGUGAAGCAAAAUGACAAAUGACUCCAGUCAAAAGCUUGCAGUCAGGACCUAAAUCUUCUACCACCCCCUUUCUGUGUGAAUUAAUUUUAGGUGUUCUGUGAGAUAAAUUGAAUUUUGCACUCCUCCAACUGCAGAAAUAGAUUGUUCUAGUUAUUAAAAUAAAUGUAUGAAAAAUAAAAAUAAAGAAGAUAAAAGAAAAAGGAAAUGCUAAUGUAGUCAGAAGCCACAGAAUUGUGCCAAAGAAUUGCAGUGGUACUAAGACACUUGUGCUAUAUUUAUGCAGGAGCACCAAGCAAGAAAUAAACAAAGAAAGAAAAACCAAACUACAGCCCUUUUCAGAGAGUCUUUGGGGAGGCAUUUUAAGGUUAAAAUGAGAGGCUGCCAUGUAGCAGAUGUCAGAAUUUAUCCUGACAAUCUACACUGCACUAAGUGAUUGACUUCAGAGGGAGAAAGAAUGGGCCAAGAGUUUUUAACCUUCUGAUUUUCCCUCCAGGAGUGUCUGUGCAUUCACUGAUCAGAACGGGUUUUUCAUGCCUAAAUUGCAGAUUUUGCUCAUCAUAGUUGUUCUCUUCAAGCAACCUUCCUCUGCUCUCCUCCACUAGGCACCAUGCACCAUUUUUCUUUAACUGACCAAGCUCAGUCCUUCACAGAAGACACUACAAAUCUUAACUGUUCAGGCAGGAGCACUCCCCAGAAAGUCUUCCUGAAAGCUGCCUUGGUAUCUCAGGUACCAUUUUCUUCCUUCUUUGAUGCAUUACUGCACAUCUGGUUUACAUACCUUCUACCAAUAUUUCAUCAAGGAAAGGUCCUCAGGAGGUGGGAAGACAAACAAACAAAUAUCAACACUUAGAGAUCAAAAUUAAGAUAGUGGCAUCUCCACAGUUGUAUAUUUGGGCCCUUGUGAGCAUUAUGAAGGGAUUAUCUCUUAAAAGCUAUGAGUCUUCACCAUCUUAGUCACCCACUAGACUGGAACUUCUCAGGUGGGCCUGUAUGAUCUUUUUAGACAUCUGUUUUCAGACAGCUGUAGAUCAGGGUCAACUGGAACUCUGUACCAGGCUUGUAGAAAAACACACUUAGAGAAAUGAGGGCAUUUUAUUCAAAAAUCAAGUAUCUGCUAUCUUUUAAGUAAGCGAGCUUUGAACAUGAAGGUUUCGUUUCAGCUCAAAUAAAAUAUUUCAUUUGAUUUGAAACAAAACUUUUCUUAAUGUUUUGAUUCAUCCAGCACAACAAAGAAGAGAUCAGUUAUUUAUACAGCGCUGCUUAGAUUUGGGCUCUCAAUAGAUUUCAGUACAGAAGAAAAACAAUCAAGUGCUGUAACGCUAACUAUGACCAAUUAAGUCUUAGUUCUGCAAUAGUGGACUUUUUCUUAAAGCUCCAGCUUCUUGAAUCAUGUGAUUACAUGAAGAUCUCAGCCUUUUUUAGCACAGAAAGUGAAUAUCUAAUAAUCUGGGUUGCAAACAAACACUCACUGACUGGAGUUCCAGAGACUUAAAGCCCCUAAACAAGCUAAAAAAAUAUCUUCCCAUCUUACUAAUUAAUAAAAUAUAUAUAAAUCAUGAUUUGAGAUGGGCCUUAUUUGUGAUUUUUCAACUCUUCAGGUAAACAAUAUCACAAACGACUUCCCAGCUACCUCCACCCUUUGGGCUUUUUCCCCUUCUCUAUUCUUGCCCCCUUCCCUCAUUGGCUUCCAUUUGGUUUGGGGAAGGAAACCCUCAGUCAGUCAGCUCCAAGCCCCCACCAACAGUAAGAGUUAAUUUCUUGCAAUGUAUCUCAGUGUAGUAACUGAUUACAUUUUUCCCCAAAGGAAACUUCAGUUAAUUUGGUUAGUGACUCAUAUGCCAGGCUGCCAAUUACAACACAGAUGAUUACACACAUAAAUUCAUGUCGGAGUGGCUCAACGAUCACAGGGAAAAAAAAAAAGAAAAAAAAGAAAGAAAGAAAAAGGCAGAAAAGAAACCCCUGGUUUCCUCAUUACCUUCCCAGGAAGGGGGUUGGUAAACAUCCCACAAUGAGGGGUACCCACCAAGGUUUGAGCCUCAGUGCCCCAACCUGUGGGAUGGUGGCACAGUCUCUGCAAUGGCAGUGCCUCCUAGCUUUCAUUUGGGAUGUUCGCUGUAGAAAUGUGUUGCACGUUCACUAAGAGAUUGUUUGCCAGUAUCGUUAGAGGAAUCCAUAUACAAAGAGAGCAGGAAGGAGGUUAAAUGAGCAGUGCUUGGCAGUACGUCAGUAAAUCAUUUAAAGAUAACCUGUGCAUACCAAUACAAAAAAAAAUCCAAUUAAAGUAACUUAUUACAAACCUAGCUCUCUCUGAAGUGCUUUAAAUUUCCUAAGGAGGAUCUGGAGAGGGGGAGGGAAGAAACAGGACAAGGAGUCAGAGUCUGAUGCUACAACAUGGGGAAGGCCCAAGUUCAGCAUUAGAGAAAAUCUGCUCCACGCCUCAUCAAUUAGCCAAUGAAACCAAUAUCCAGGAGUUGGCUGGGCUCCUGAAUACGUACAUACAGAGAAAAUUAGACUUUCUACUUCAGAGCAAUAGGAAGCUCUGACAUUUGGUGGAGUGCGUAGGAGGAAGGUGUUCUUUAAUGAAAGAUACUUCACUGGCCCCAAAUGCAUUUCUGUCUCGACAUUCCUCUAGAUAAACAGCUGCAUACGUUUCCUUCACUCAGGGUCAAUGGGCUGGCUAUAGUAUAACUCACACAGCUCCUUGCUUGAGAGGUCAAAAUCCUUCACAAACAGUAAUUAGGCUUCAUGGCACUGGGCUAUUAUUAUACCAGUUUUACAAGGGAAUAAAUAAAAGCAUGUAGCGGCAAAGUGAUUUGCCCAAGGUCACCAAGCAAGGCAGUGGCAGAAUGAAGUCCCAUCUCCUAUCCUCACCUCUUACCAAUAUGCAACUCCUCCAUGUCAGCCUUUAUUAAAUAACCAUUAGAAUACGUAUUAAUUGUAAUUUGGAACUAUGUAAAUUGACUCUUUCCCAAAAGACAGCAAUUGGCUGUUAAAUAAAUACCAAGCGAUUAUUACAAUCAUAUUUGCUGAAGGGUGGAUCAUCAGUGUAAUGUGCUGGGUUCAAUAAAAAGGUUAUUGCCUGUCAAAUAAACAUGAUGAGCAGAGCCUGGACUGACACAAAGCGUAUUGAACAGCAACCAGCUCUACUGGGAGCUGCAGCCACUCAGCACCAUGCAGCUCAAGCUCAACACAUAGGGAUCUGGCACUGACAAAGCAGAGACCUCCAUUAGCAAAAUAACUUCGGGUCAGGAUGUGGUACCAAGAACUUCACUGUAAGGACAGCUGUCCUACUGAUUUCUGGCAAAACAACUCAUGGUGUGAGUUGCUGCUCUUAAGCUGGAGAAAGGUGGAAGAAAUCUACUGUAUAGAAGAGUGGGAUGGUUUUGAUGUUAAUGGUAAAUUAAAUGCAGAUACAGGAAGCUAAGGAUCUUGCUUCUGUUUUUAUAACUCACCAUAAGGGGACAGCUGUAAAUACAGUUGAAUGGUCAGAUUAUGUCUUUCAGGAAAAUGGCCUGAGCACAAAGGAAGCUAUAUUAAAUUGCCUGUUUUUUUAUGUUUUUAAGUGUGAGCUUGUGAGAAUAACAUUUGUGCUCUGCCAGACAAUUGUGGAUGCAUCAAAAAAAUCUUUGUACCCUGCAGAACUGACUGUCAUUUGCAGUUUCACACGAAGGCAGAGCCCUGCUAUGAAUGAUGGCCAUCCAUUUUUAGGCUGCUUCUCUGGCAAAGAGGGGUUAAGGGACAUGACUACAACAACCCCAUUUGGAUGCAGUUUGUCAGCACAAGCAGCUGGAACAGCAAACAUUGCUGCUUGUCUCAGAGCAAAUCUUGUUCUAAAAGCAAAACAGUCCAUGCAUGCAGUAACUGCCACUUAUGUCAAAUAAGCAAUUUUUAAAAAUCAGCUUUUCCAGCAGUGAGGCCGGCAAUUGGACGAGGAGAGCAGUACCGAAGCGCAGCACUAGGUGGCAAGCCUCUAACAAAGAAGGAACUUCUGGGAGCAGAGCCUCCACCGAGGCUUGCAGCAGUCACCUGACAUUGUCGUGUGGUGGAAAAAUGUUCUUGAUUUAAACACCUAAUGUUUCCCAUUAAGAGCUAAUGUCC